AUUGAACGCUGGCGGCAGGCUUAACACAUGCAAGUCGAACGAUGAAACUCUAGCUUGCUAGAGAUGAUUAGUGGCGGACGGGUGAGUAACAUUUAGGAAUCUGCCUAGUAGUGGGGGAUAGCUCGGGGAAACUCGAAUUAAUACCGCAUACGACCUACGGGUGAAGGGGGGCGCAAGCUCUUGCUAUUAGAUGAGCCUAAAUCAGAUUAGCUAGUUGGUGGGGUAAAGGCCCACCAAGGCGACGAUCUGUAACUGGUCUGAGAGGAUGAUCAGUCACACCGGAACUGAGACACGGUCCGGACUCCUACGGGAGGCAGCAGUGGGGAAUAUUGGACAAUGGGGGCAACCCUGAUCCAGCCAUGCCGCGUGUGUGAAGAAGGCCUUUUGGUUGUAAAGCACUUUAAGCAGGGAGGAGAGGCUAAUGGUUAAUACCCAUUAGAUUAGACGUUACCUGCAGAAUAAGCACCGGCUAACUCUGUGCCAGCAGCCGCAGUAAAAC
rnacentral:rRNA from 1 species